UACGAAGGGGGGCUAGCGUUGCUCGGAAUCACUGGGCGUAAAGGGUGCGUAGGCGGGUUUUUAAGUCAGAGGUGAAAUCCUGGAGCUCAACUCCAGAACUGCCUUUGAUACUGAAAGUCUUGAGUAUGGGAGAGGUGAGUGGAACUGCGAGUGUAGAGGUGAAAUUCGUAGAUAUUCGCAAGAACACCAGUGGCGAAGGCGACUACCUGGCCUGUUCUUGACGCUGAGGCGCGAAAGCUAGGGGAGCAAACGGG
rnacentral:rRNA from 1 species